rnacentral:rRNA from 1 species
UAUGUGAUCGUCUCUCGCAUAUCAAUAAGCGGAGGAAAAGAAACUAACAAGGAUUCCCCUAGUAACGGCGAGUGAAGCGGGAAGAGCUCAAAUUUGAAAUCUUAAAGGGUUUCCCUUUACGAAUUGUAGUUUAAAGAAGUGUUUUCUGUUGAGGUUUUGGUAAAAGUUCUUUGGAAUAGGACAUCAUAGAGGGUGAGAAUCCCGUAUUUGACCUUUACUUUCAACUUUGUGAUACACUUUCAAAGAGUCGGAUUGUUUGGGAAUGCAGUCCAAAAUGGGUGGUAAAUUUCAUCUAAAGCUAAAUAUUGGCGAGAGACCGAUAGCGAACAAGUACCGUGAGGGAAAGAUGAAAAGAACUUUGAAAAGAGAGUUAAACAGUACGUGAAAUUGUCAAAAGGGAAGCGUUUGACACCAGUGUUGUUUUUCUGAAAAUCAAUUAAAGAACUGUUUAUGCUAAGCUUGUUUAGACUUUAUCAGCCAUACUGUUUAGUUUUGAGCUUUUCUUUAAUGCACUUUUCAGUUAACAAGUCAACAUCAAUUUCUUUUGCUGUAAAAAAGCUUGAGGAAGGUGGCUUGAGAUUCGUCUUAAGUGUUUAAUAGCCUCUUGCCUAUGCAGUCGGAGAGAUUGAGGUCUGCAGCGUAGAUCCUUCGGGGCUAAAUGCAUUUGUGCUAAGUUAUAGCAUUUUAUAGACAACUUGUUGACUAUGAUUUGUCUUGUAGCUUACUCGCUUAUGUUAUUUUACCUACGCUUAGGAUGUUGAGUAGCGACAUACGCAC